rnacentral:rRNA from 1 species
UACGAAGGGGGCUAGCGUUGCUCGGAAUUACUGGGCGUAAAGGGCGCGUAGGCGGAUAUCUAAGUUGGGGGUGAAAUCCCGGGGCUCAACCUCGGAAUUGCCUUCAAAACUGGAUAUCUUGAGUUCGGGAGAGGUGAGUGGAACUCCGGAGUGGUAGAGGUGAAAUUCGUAGAUAAUUCGGAGAACACCAGUGGCGAAGGC